rnacentral:rRNA from 1 species
UAGGGAAUCUUCCACAAUGGACGCAAGUCUGAUGGAGCAACGCCGCGUGAGUGAAGAAGGUUUUCGGAUCGUAAAGCUCUGUUGUUGGUGAAGAAGGAUAGAGGUAGUAACUGGCCUUUAUUUGACGGUAAUCAACCAGAAAGUCACGGCUAACUACGUGCCAGCAGCCGCGGUAAUACGUAGGUGGCAAGCGUUGUCCGGAUUUAUUGGGCGUAAAGCGAGCGCAGGCGGAAGAAUAAGUCUGAUGUGAAAGCCCUCGGCUUAACCGAGGAACUGCAUCGGAAACUGUUUUUCUUGAGUGCAGAAGAGGAGAGUGGAAUUCCAUGUGUAGCGGUGGAAUGCGUAGAUAUAUGGAAGAACACCAGCGGCGAAGGCGACUCUCUGGUCUGCAACUGACGCUGAGGCUCGAAAGCAUGGGUAGCGAACAGG